rnacentral:lncRNA from 12 species
GGCCCAGUUGGCCUCCACCUCCCCCUGCGCGUCGGCCCUGAGCUGGCUGGGGGCUGGCUGGGGGCUGGCGAGCGGAGGGGCCGCGGGGCCGUGGCCUGUGCCGGGGGAGGCGGAGAUGCGGUCCAGGCUGCCGUGUCGGGGUCCCGGGGCCCUUUCCCUGCAGGGGCGGCACGCCGGCACCCACCCAGAGUCCCAGCAUCACGCCCCGCAGGCAAGGCCCUGGGGGUGGUGGGCCGGGAGGAGCCGGCGCCACGGCUGGGGGCGAGCCCGGUGGCUGCAGGGCGCAGCCCUCUGUCCGGUGUGUGUCGGGAGCGACCGCGGGCCAACAGCCUCCUGUCGCUGCACCAGGCUGCACGUGGGGACGCGCGGGGCCCUGUGCCCGACAGCCGUGCGCCUGUCCCUACUGCGGACGUGGCGACUCUCGCCGUCCUGAUCCCACCACCCGGCCCCCGUGGGAGGGCGGGCACGGGGCAGCCAUGGUGGGACUGGGUCUGGGGAAGGGUCCCGGGGGCCCGGAGCAGCCGGCGCCUCCUCCCAUGGGCCUCCCGGCCUUGGCCGCGCCCCGGGUCGGCCUCCUGCGGCGUCGCACAGCCACGAGGUGGGCAGGGGAGGACGGCCGCGCGUGGGGCCUGGCUCUGCGGGCCUGUGGGUGCCAAGGGCCCCCACCCCCGUCCCGGUGAGAAAGGGCACGCCCUGGAGCCCAGCCUUUGGGGGACCCCACUGUAUUUGGGGUGCAGGUGGGUGGAGGGGUCUGCGGGGAAGCAGACUGUGGUUCCAACGCAGGCCACACUCGGGAGGGCCUCACCCUGCCCAGCACCUGGAGGACCCCGCCGUCUGCCCUGGGGAUACCGAGGCAGGUGAGAGCAUCACUGCCUGUCCCCGGGUGGGGGGGACCCAGGAGCCCCGGGGCAGAGCCAAGAAGGCGGUCACGGCCCCAGCCCACGGGUCAUCAGGACGCCCACCCCUGCGCCCCUCCCGGUGUCGCUCCCCCGGGAAGGGGCCCCCGCGCAGCCGCAGGAAAACCCCGCUUGUAACCCGCGUUUCGGAACCGCUCGGCCUUCCGGGCAAAGCUCACUUUUUUUCUGAACGGCACAAGUUUCUAGGCGCAGUUAAUGGUUUCUCCCUGUUUCCCGCGCACCAACUGACUGCUCGCCAUCAAAUCCUAAAUUAGUUCUGAUUAUUUGGAUGAGGGAUAACAGAAUUUCUAUUGUUCCUAAUACCAAACCGAUCAUUUGAAAUUCAAAAGGACAUACAUUUCCUUACGAGCUGUUCAUCCCGGCCCUUUCACAACCGUCCUUGGAGUGGGUCCUCGGGAAAGUUUUGCCAAAUUGAUCUAAAUUGAAUUCCCUUUAAUUGCACUCUGCUAAUAGUGUUUUAGGACACACACAAGACGCGCGCAAUUAAGCGGCUCUGAAACAUCCCUCCACCUCGCAGAUGUUCUCAGACGCUCCCGGAAAGCCCCCCAGUGGAAGGCAGCCCGCGGGGCGGACGCGGGGCGGACGCGGGGCGGACACGGGGCGGGCUGUGGGCGGACCCUCGCUCCCGGGCGGCUCUCCGUCCGCGUGUGACACUCCUCACAGCACCGACGGCAGCGCGUGGUCCCCGACGGCGGUCCACCCGCCCUGGGCCAUCAGCUCACGCUCUCCAGGGUCCCACCCGAGGCUGCUCCUCGCAGGUCCCUCGAGGUCAGUGGCUGCGCUUGAGGCUUAAGCAUCCGUCCCUCCCUCCGAGGGGCCGACUCCCGCGACGUGUGGCCGCCUUCCCUGCUGGCCGGUGGCCUGCAAGCCUCAGCCCCGGAGGUCGGCUAAGCUGCCAGGCUGGGCGGUGCUGGGGCUCAGGGAGGCCCCGGCCAGCUCCGCCC